AUCCAGAUGACGAGUCCCAAAUAGGACGAAAUGCGCAUCCUUAAU
rnacentral:hammerhead_ribozyme from 1 species